rnacentral:ribozyme from 1 species
UUUUUUUUUUUUUUUUUUUUUUUUUAUCUUUGAUUUUACUA